rnacentral:rRNA from 1 species
UACGGAGGAUGCAAGCGUUAUCCGGAAUGAUUGGGCGUAAAGCGUCCGCAGGUGGCUGUGUAAGUCUGCUGUCAAAGAGCGAAGCUCAACUUCGUAAAGGCAGUGGAAACUACACGGCUAGAGUGCGUUCGGGGCAGAGGGAAUUCCUGGUGUAGCGGUGAAAUGCGUAGAGAUCAGGAAGAACACCGGUGGCGAAGGCGGCAUCCUGGACCGGUAUUGACGCUGAGGCGCGAAAGCUAGGGGAGCAAACGGG